rnacentral:tRNA from 1 species
UAGUCAGUUGGUAGAGCAUGGCGCUUGUAACGCCAGGGUUGUGGGUUCGAUUCCCAC